ACAAUUUUCUAUAGGUAUUAUUUCAACUAAUUAACGCAUCGAAAUAUUAAUGUAAAAUUAAUUGGGAAAAAUAUAACGAAUUAUGGAAAAGGGUUAUAACGUUUUUGACACAUCCCUAAUAACUUGAAAAGGAAAGAAGGUACAAAAAUUAUCAUCUGAAAAUCCAAGAUUUCCUAGUUCCAUGCAAAACGUGUACCAUUAUUAGUAAGUUAUUGCCUAAAUCUGACAAAUAUUAAAUAUCCUAGAUACAGAAUCUUACAUCAGUCGGCUAUUAUACACAUGAUCAUAUAUUGAAUGUAACUGCCGGAGUACGAGCACCAUAUGGACCCAAUAUAUCCUUUGAAGUUUGCAUCUUCGUCGGAGGCCAGAUUGUGCCGCCAAUUACAUAUCCUAGAAAUCGAAGACGGCCUUGGUGUCGCCUACGUAUCCUCGAACCUUCUGAAUGCGAGAGGGCAGGCGUACAAGUGAGAUCAACUGAAUUUUGCGCCAAGACUACUGAUCCAGCGAACCUCCUAACGCUGGAGGAUGAAGGCAGUCCACUGGUAUGUGAUGGUCACAUAGUCGGUAUAUAUACUAAUCCCGUCCAGCCGCGGUUUUUGCCUCGUUAUAGUAUAAACGGUCCACCUAUAUUUGUAAAAGUCAUAUCUCAUCAUGCCUUUAUUGUUGAGGCCAUGCAGUCCUAAUGAGUCAAAUAAGAGAAUGUGAUGGAAAAUUUGAUUGACGACUCUUCGUACUCAACCGAAUAAGAUUAUAUUCCAUUUUAGUGUAAGAUGAUUUUCUGAUUAUUAUGCACCAGUUAUUAUUUGUCACUUAAUUGUACCCAUGUUCUGUUGUCUUGUAACUAAUGAUAAGACCCAAUAAAAGAAAUUACACUUGCAGUCCA